UAGACACCCAAUCUGCUGGAGCCACUUCUUGGACUUUCCAGAACCCAGAGCAAUAGGCUGCUUAUUCAUCAUUCGGAAUGAGGCGUUUCUAUUACAGCAUCCUCAAGCGACUGAGGCAGGCCCCAAGUCCAACUUUGGGAGGGAGGAGGAAAAAGGAAGGACAAGAGAAAGAAAAUUGUCUCCAAAGAAAUCUGUCCCAUUACUGGUGACAAAGGAAGGAACAAAUCAGCAAGACAACACACAGGCAUGCCCCAGAGAGGUACAAAGAGAAGCACAGUAGCAGGACAGGUGUGACCACGAUGCUUAAGGACUCUUGUGAUUUAAUUCCCAUUGUUGUGUGCUGACGUAUGGAACAUCAGGAAUGGUCCCUAAUUUAACCUAUCCUUUAACCCUGUGAAGUUGUUACUACUACAAUCCUCAUGUUGAACCAAAGAAAUUGAGUCUCAGAAAUUGGAAGAAGCUGUGAAAGAUCAUAUGACUUGACAAAAUUCACUGCCAGGUAACUCGCAGUCCAACACCCUGCUUUCUGUUUUACCCUUUGGCGUUUUGAUCCUGGUGAAGAAAUAUCUGUUUCAUGAUUGGCAAGCUGACACUGAGAAUCAAGAGAUAAUUUGCGCGAAGUCCCACUUAGGGAAGAAAGGACUUCUGCGGACAACAUCUAAUUCUUAGUGCAGUUUGUACCACAGAAUUCGGAUUCAGAGAGAGUUAAAAACCCACUGACUGGUUAGUAUAGCACUUUUAAUGGACCAGAAUAACAUUUCAAAAUUCACAUAUCUCAAAUAUUAAUAAAAAUAUCUUCAUCUAGACAACAAGAAGAGAAGCAAUGCUCAGCUUCUUCUUAUAGACGUUGAAAUGUUUAAACGCAGUCGUGUAUGUUCUGUGACUUACAGCACAAGCUGAAAAUUCCUAGCAAACUUUACUGAAAGACCUCUGCAAUUAGUGAUCUAUAAUCAGUAAUCCGCAGUGUCUCUAACUAUUUGGAAAGUGGGGGCAAGCCUACAAACUUUGGAGUCUACAUUCUAGUGUGUCUCUGAAAACAUCCAAACUCUGUCACAUGUGUCAGUUUGCUCGGCUACAAAAUGGCAUCUACCUCAAAGAAACUGUGUUUGGGACUAAAUAAAACUUUCUACAGC
rnacentral:lncRNA from 1 species